rnacentral:rRNA from 1 species
GAUGAACGCUGGCGGCGUGCCUAACACAUGCAAGUCGAACGGGAAGCCAUCUUCGGAUGGUGGAGAGUGGCGAACGGGUGAGUAACACGUAGCUAACCUGCCUUCAAGAAGAGGAUAACUAUUGGAAACAGUAGCUAAUACUCUAUAAGCUCACGUUAUGUAGAUGGAUGUGAGAAAGCGAAUGCGCUUGAAGAUGGGGCUGCGAGCCAUCAGCUAGCUGGUGAGGUAAAGCUCACCAGGGCGACGACGGCUAGGGGACCUGAGAGGGUGACCCCCCANACUGGAACUGAGACACGGUCCAGACUUCUACGGAAGGCAGCAGUGAGGAAUAUUGCACAAUGGGCGCAAGCCUGAUGCAGCGACGCCGCGUGGGUGAAGACGGUUUUCGGACUGUAAAGCCCUUUUCNGUGUGACGAGAGUGGACGGUAGCACAGGAAUAAGUCUCGGCUAACUACGUGCC